UAUGCCCCCACCCCGGGUGCGCAUCAGUGCAAAUUUACUCCAGCAGCCACGCCACCGUCUCGCCGUUGGGAUGAAAACGCAGAGAACCCCCACCACCCCAACGACCACCUUCCUUCUCUCGAUGGAGCCGCCGCCGCCUUCAUCUUCCCGUAGAACUGCGUGUGAUCGAGAUAAGUUCGUAUCAAAGGUGCUCUUGCCGGCUAUCAUCGGAAAAUCGUGCCCAAUAUGCCUUACACACAUCUACGAUCGCCGAGCAUCAGUCCUUACAGUUUGUCUCCACGCCUAUUGCACCCACUGCAUCCGCAAAUGGAGCAAUCUCAAACGCAAUUGUCCCCUCUGCAGCUCCCACUUCGAUUCGUGGUUCUGCCGAAUCAGUCUCCCCUCAAGAAGAUUCCGCACAGAGCGGCUGCGACCUCUCGGUGACGCAGGAAAGAUCACUCCCGAAAGCAGACAGAUGGUUAUUCGAAGGUGGAGGGAAGAAUCGAGUUGUCUUAAUGGAAGAUCGAGACCAUUGCCGUGGCGGCGAUCGUUUGGACGGCCAGGAUCUGUGCACCCUGAUGUUGUCGCUGAAAGAGCUCUUCAGUGGCGUGCCAGCAUAUACAACCGACGCUUGCAGGCUGUUCCUCUUUCUGCUCGGAAUCGUCUGGAGCAGGAUAUGUCAAGAAACAAAACUGGUGGUAAAGAAAGACUACUGUGUAGAAUCGAGCCAUGGGUUCGAAGGGAGCUUCAGGCUAUCCUUGGGGAUCCAGAUCCAUCUGUUAUUGUUCACGUGACCACAUCACAUUUUAUCUCACACCUGGAAAAGAAGUUUACUACCUCUUCAGCACAUUGUGAUGGUGAUAAUUACCAUCUCGCACCAUUGCGGCCUUUUCUGCAAGAGUGGACUGGAAUGUUCUGGCAUGAACUUAGAUGUUUUGCAGAGAGCUCAUUCACCAUGGAAACAUAUGACACUGUUGUUGAAUAUAAACGGUUGGAAUGACUUCAGACAACAUUCUCUCUUUCAGCUUCUUUGUUCUUGAAGGUGCAAUAUUGAUUAUUGACAUGAUACGCAGCUUAAGUGUUGCUUAUUUGCAAGAAACAAUCAAAUUAUCUAGCUCAGCUGAGAAAUGGAGCCAAAUCUUGUGGAGCAAAUUUUGGUUUUAUCAAGCGGAGGGGUGAAGUUAUUCUUUAUUGAAGAUGAUGACAGUCUUCUUUCUGCAAGCUCGCCGUCAUCUGCAGAUGGACCAGAGUUAGGAGUGCUUGAAGAAUCAGCACAUAAAAAAUUUGAAAGUGUUAUUUCAAGCUUAGACAGGUAUUCCUUGGAAUAAAUUCCUCCCCCCACCCCUGUCAUGCUAGAUGGCUUUGAGAUCACGGGAUUCACAUUGGGUGUGUGUUGACAUCCCAGAUAAUUCAGUAUAGAAUUUUCUUGGUAUAGAAUGUGGUGGUACACCUAGGUAAUCAAGCUUGUACCCUAUUGUUUUAGCGUUGAGGUCAUGUUGUUCUACACGCUUGUAACUCUUUUUAUAGCCUGAUUUGUUGGAAAGUAGUGAAAAGAGAAGAAAUUUAUAGUGUAAAAGUGAGGAGGGAAGAAAUCCUUCUCCAUUGUUUGGUUUAUGUUUAACAGAGAAAAUGGAGAGAAACAUGAAUAAAGAAAAUAAAAUUUAAUCAUCUUUUACAA